CGUCAUGUGGCCGAACGGAUAGGCAAGGGUCAGCAAAACCCUUAACGAUGGUUCAACUCCAUCCAUGACAA
rnacentral:tRNA from 1 species